rnacentral:rRNA from 1 species
GUGCCAGCAGCCGCGGUAAGACGGAGACCCCUAGCGUUGUUCGGAAUUACUGGGCUUAAAGGGCGUGUAGGCGGAACGGUAAGUACCUUGUGAAAUCCCCGGGCUCAACCCGGGAAUGGCUCGGUAUACUGCCGUUCUUGAGGCAGGUAGGGGUCACUGGAACCUUAGGUGGAGCGGUGAAAUGCGUAGAUAUCUAAGGGAACGCCUGUGGCGAAAGCGGGUGACUGGGCCUGUCCUGACGCUGAGACGCGAAAGCGUAGGGAGCAAACGGGAUUAGAAACCCUUGUAGUCC